GCCGCUCGCCCUCCUUGGGCGUUUCCUCCCUAGACUUGGGCCGCUGCCGAAAGGCUAGCGGCCCCUUUCUUUUUCAGCG
rnacentral:sRNA from 1 species